rnacentral:rRNA from 1 species
GACGUAGGUGGCGAACGUUAUCCGGAAUUAUUGGGCGUAAAGGGUGCGUAGAUGGCUUGAUAAGUUAGCAGUGGGAAAUCGAGGCUCAACCUCGUGGAAGCUGGUAAUACUGUCAGGCUUGAGUGCAGGAGAGGUUAACGGAACUCCAUGUGGAGCGGUAAAAUGUGUAGAUAUAUGGAAGAACACCAAUAACGGCGAAGCAGUUAACUAUUCGUGUUACUGACAUUGAGGCACGAAAGCCGUUGGGGAGCAAAACGG